rnacentral:lncRNA from 1 species
UUGCCGUCUCUGGCUGAUAGAUUUGCGUGACUUUCCUGCCGUGCUGUGCAUUCGUGGCCUAGAAUCGUGUCGUCGUCUCCCUCUUGCCGUGAGUGGUUGACACAAUAAGUGUCAAUCAGUGUUCGUGAAAAGCAGCCUCAGGACGGAGA